rnacentral:rRNA from 1 species
AACGAACGCUGGCGGCAUGCCUAACACAUGCAAGUCGAACGAACCCUUCGGGGUUAGUGGCGCACGGGUGCGUAACGCGUGGGAAUCUGCCCUUUGCUUCGGAAUAACUCAGGGAAACUUGUGCUAAUACCGGAUGAUGUCUUCGGACCAAAGAUUUAUCGGCAAGGGAUGAGCCCGCGUAGGAUUAGGUAGUUGGUGGGGUAAAGGCCUACCAAGCCGACGAUCCUUAGCUGGUCUGAGAGGAUGAUCAGCCACACUGGGACUGAGACACGGCCCAGACGCAGACUGGAGGAAGCAAGGCGGAAUAGGGGACAAUGGGCGAAGGGAUGAGAAAGUAAUGACGCGAGAAUGAGGAAUGCAUGAGCGAGGGAAAGACCUCGGAAAAAGGACGAUAAGGACAGAACGGGAAGAAUAAGAGACGGCUAACUCCGUG